AACACAUUCCUUAGAUCCACCUUUGGGAUGUAUCUGUCUUGCUGUUCUGGAUCAUUCCAUGUGAUGGGUUUUCCAUUACGGUUGCCAGAUAAUCCACAACUUUCAUGGUUGUACAGUCGAAGGUGCUUGAGUCAUUGAUGUGUGAGAAUAAUCUACCUGCAUGUUAGCCUUGCCUGUUCCUUUGUGAAUAGUCUGUAUUACAUUCUAUUUCCUGCCACUGGGACUUGGCUGAUUUGCGGACAUA